GGGGUUGUGGCUCAAUGAUAGAGCACUUGCUUUGUGUGUGUGAGGCACUGGGUUCGAUUCUCAGCACCA
rnacentral:tRNA from 1 species